rnacentral:tRNA from 1 species
GGAAGGGUACAGCUCAGUGGUAGAGCACGAGCGUAGCAUGCAAGAGGUCCUGGGUUCAAUCCCCAGUACUUCCA